rnacentral:SRP_RNA from 10 species
CCGUAACCCGCGUAGGGGUUUCCAGGCGGUGGACCUCCAGGCGGUGGCGGCGGUGGGAAGCCCGGAUGACCGAAAGGCGGCAUGCCCGGGGGUGGAGGAGCGCCGAAGGGCCCACCUGGAGGCCCAUACGGCAUUCCACCAAAGGGAAUAAGUGCGUCAGGUCGG